ensembl:snRNA U6 U6 spliceosomal RNA
GCCCUAGAUUCGGCAGCACAUUUACUAAAAUUGGAACGACACAGAGAUUAGAUAGCCCCUGAGCAAGGAUGACACAAAAA